AUUGAACGCUGGCGGCAUGCCUUACACAUGCAAGUCGAACGGUAACAGGUCUUCGGAUGCUGACGAGUGGCGAACGGGUGAGUAAUACAUCGGAACGUGCCCGAUCGUGGGGGAUAACGGAGCGAAAGCUUUGCUAAUACCGCAUACGAUCUACGGAUGAAAGCAGGGGACCGCAAGGCCUUGCGCGGACGGAGCGGCCGAUGGCAGAUUAGGUAGUUGGUGGGAUAAAAGCUUACCAAGCCGACGAUCUGUAGCUGGUCUGAGAGGACGACCAGCCAAACGGGGACGUAGACACGGCCCAGACUCCUACGGGAGGCAGCAGUGGGGAAUUUUGGACAAUGGGCGCAAGCCUGAUCCAGCCAUGCCGCGUGCAGGAUGAAGGCCUUCGGGUUGUAAACUGCUUUUGUACGGAACGAAACGGCUCUUUCUAAUAAAGAGGGCUAAUGACGGUACCGUAAGAAUAAGCACCGGCUAACUACGUGCCAGCAGCCGCCGUAAAAC
rnacentral:rRNA from 1 species